AUGGUAAGUAGCCAAUGCUGGGAGAAUAUGAUUUAUUGUUGCAUACUGACAUUGUACAUGAACAUUUUACAAAUGCUUAUAAUAUAUAAACAUCAAUUUAUAGAUAUCUACAAGGGAGCAUUUCAGCGAACACAUGGCGAGCAUGAGUGUCGCACAAACCUGCAGAUUUCUAGAUUUCCAUGUCUCAUGGAUGGUGGUGAGCAGCAGCUGCAGCAUGUUACUCCUUACUUAGCUAGGGGGCCCUGGUCAUGGACAACUCUACUGGCCAGGGGGCAAUGGGGUAGCGGCCUGGCCUGUCUCAUGCCAACUACAACUGCAAAUUUUACAGAAUUGGAAGCGGGUAGUGGAGGCUUACUCACAUCAAUCGGAAAAAGGACAGAGGACGCCGAAUAUUGA
rnacentral:rRNA from 1 species